CGAGAGAGAGAGAGAGAGCUGGGAGCUCUGACCCGGACGCCACCGCGACCAGAGAAGGAAACCCCACCAGGGGGACGCCGUCCGGACACCCCACGACGGCGCGCGGCCACCAGCGGCUUCGUCUCGGUGUCUUCUACGUCCCUGUGGUCCCAAAUUUUAUAUGCAGCAACUGGGAACGGAGAAUUGACGAUCCAAAGCUUGAAGAACCUCCGGCGAGUUUCAACUAAUUCCGGCGACUCCGGCC
rnacentral:lncRNA from 1 species